rnacentral:rRNA from 1 species
AUUGAACGCUGGCGGCAGGCCUAACACAUGCAAGUCGAACGAGUGGCGGACGGGUGAGUAAUGUCUGGGAAACUGCCUGAUGGAGGGGGAUAACUACUGGAAACGGUAGCUAAUACCGCAUACCAUCAGAUGUGCCCAGAUGGGAUUAGCUUGUUGGUGGGGUAACGGCUCACCAAGGCGACGAUCCCUAGCUGGUCUGGGAGGAUGACCAGCAACAACGGAACUUAGACACGGGCCAGACCCCUUAGGGGGGGAACAGUGGGGAAUAAUGGACAAUGGGGGCAAGCCUGAUGCAGCCAUGGCGGGUGUAAUAAAAAGGCCUUCGGGGUUUAAAGGACUUUUAGCGGGGAGGCGUUACCCGCAGAAGAAGCACCGGCUAACUCCGUGCCAGCAGCCGCGGUAAUUC